rnacentral:rRNA from 1 species
AGAGUUUGAUUAUGGCUCAGGAUGAACGCUGGCGGCGUGCCUAAUACAUGCAAGUCGAACGAGGAGCCAUUGUAUUCGUACGGUGGAUUUCCUAGUGGCGAACGGGUGAGUAACGCGUUGGUGACCUGCCCCGAAGAGAGGAAUAACAGUUCGAAAGGACUGCUAAUACCUCAUGUGGUCACAGAGGUUAGAGGCUCUGUGUCCAAAUGGAGCAAUCCGCUUCGGGAGGGACCUGCGUCCCAUCAGCUAGUUGGUAGGGUAAUGGCCUACCAAGGCGACGACGGGUAGGGGACCUGAGAGGGUGACCCCCCACACUGGCACUGAAACACGGGCCAGACACCUACGGGUGGCAGCAGUAGGGAAUAUUGCACAAUGGGCGAAAGCCUGAUGCAGCAACGCCGCGUGCACGAUGAAGGCCUUCGGGUUGUAAAGUGCUUUUCGGGGAGAUGAGGAAGGACAGUAUCCCCGGAAUAAGGAUCGGCUAACUACGUGUCAGCAGCCGCGGUAAAACGUAGGAUCCGAGCGUUAUCCGAAUUUACUGGGCGUAAAGCGCGUGUAGGCGGUUUGGUAAGUUGGAUGUGAAAGCUCCCGGCUCAACUGGGAGAGGUCGUUCAAUACUGCCAGACUAGAGGAUGGUAGAGGGAGGUGGAAUUCCCGGUGUAGUGGUGAAAUGCGUAGAUAUCGGGAGGAACACCAGUGGCGAAGGCGGCCUCCUGGGCCAUUCCUGACGCUCAGACGCGAAAGCUAGGGGAGCAAACGGGAUUAGAAACCCCGGUAGUCCUAGCCGUAAACGAUGUGGACUUGGCGUUGGUGGGGUAAAAGCCAUCAGUGCCGUA